rnacentral:lncRNA from 1 species
AAGCAUUAGUGAUAAAUUUAAUAAUCUGUCACCUAAGGAUAUUAUGUCCUACCUUUAGGCAUUAUGCUUUCUGAUGAGUCAUAAGUAUGCGUCUGUUCCUAUCUGUCUGUCCGGCUUCAAGUUUAAGUUUUUGAUGAAGUUGAAGUCCAAUCAACUUGAAACUAGGACAAUAAUUAUUGUUCCCUAUAAUGAUAUGAUCUUUCUUAUUUUAUUAUCCAAUUAGUUUUUUGCCCCCAAUUUCAUGGUCCACUUAACAUACAAAAAUGAUAGUGCUAGUGGGUCAUCUGUUCACUAAGGACACAUUAUUGUUAUUGAUUUAAAUGCAAAGUAUUAAGAAUUAGUUUCUGAAUUUCACCAGUUGAUAAUUGCCUACAAUAUAAAAUUUAAGAAUUUUGUACAAGUAUGUCAUUUGAAAGUAUAUUUGACAUGGAUGAGAGUUUAGAUUGGGUUUACAAAAUAGGGAAUAAGAGGCAAAAUGUACAGAAUAAAGGGGGGGAAAAAAGGGG